rnacentral:rRNA from 1 species
UACGGGGGGUGCAAGCGUUGUUCGGAUUUACUGGGCGUAAAGGGCGCGUAGGCGGCACCGCAAGUCGACUGUGAAAUCUCCGGGCUUAACCCGGAAAGGUCAGCCGAUACUGCGGGGCUAGAGUGCAGAAGGGGCAACUGGAAUUCUCGGUGUAGCGGUGAAAUGCGUAGAUAUUGGGAAGAACACCUGAGGCGAAGGCGGGUUGCUGGGCCGACACUGACGCUGAGGCGCGAAAGCCAGGGGAGCGAACGGG